UGGUCUAAGGAGAAGGGGGCGGGGUACGCGUACAUGGCGAUCCUAGUGCACCCCAUGGUAGCCCGCCGCCUUCCGCUCCCCCCACGCGUCGCCGUCCGCCGCCUAACCCACACGAAAACAACCGUCGUCACGACAGAGGCACCUACCAGGGAACAUCAUCUUCUAAUUGGUGGAAAGAUGUGGGACUCGGAGGUACCACCACUGGGAGUCGAUCGAAAUGGGCUAGUUCGACCAUGGUGGUAGACCGAAAGCUACAUGGUUCGCAUCUGCCUACAUCUCGCCGUCAUCACCAUCACCCAGGCGAUGUGCACCCACCAUCACCAUUAUUAAUUGGGUGGUGCGUGACACAUCCGCCCCAUAAGGAUGAUGAUGCGCCGUUACCCAUACUUACCGUCCACACAGCUCCCUUGUAGGGCGAAGCUCGCAUCUAAAUUACAUAAUAUAUGGCGCUAUUCGUGCCACGCUGCCCUGCUCUGCUUACACAGGAAGUAAGCAGAGGGACCACGCAGCCAUAGUUGCCAUUUCCAUUUGGAAAUUCAACCCCUCUUCCUGUGCUUCUCUUACAGCUAUGUAUAUGCACACUGCUCUCUUUCUCUCUCUCAAUCUGGUCUUUUUCUGUUCUCUCUCUGUGACUUAUGAGCUGCUGCUAUAUAUAAAAAGAGGGAGGGAGAGAGUAACCGCACCUCCGCACCUCGUCCCAACUACUGACCGAACCCCAUACCUUACCCUUCCCAUCUCUUAUCUCUCAACCCACCAUUGAUGCCCUUCAAUUCAUGCCAACUACUCUUUUCUGAAGAAAGAGAGAAGUUCCAUUGCCAUCACUUACUUCUCCUACUUGGGAAAGACAUACAUAUCUGAAGACACAAGCUGCAGCGGCGUGUUUCUGUUUGUUCUUCUUUUGCUUGCUGCAUACUAAGUGAUCGAGCAUAGUGAGAGGACAAAGGGAGAAACACUGCAGCGGGGUCCUCCACGCCCUGUUGUAUACGUGACGGAGUUCACGGGUGGAAGGGAUCACGGACCCCACGCGCGAUGGGUGAGACCGCGGAGACUUGUAUGACCAUGAGGUUCCUCUUCAGAGACGACGACGUCUCGGAUCACUUAUGACCGUUGGCGAAUGAUACGGGACCCAUACGACCAACAUGUGGAUCCCAUCGACGCUGGCUUAAGGCGUUAACCGGGUGAACAUUUGCGGUCGGUCGGCAGAACAAGUGUUUCACGUCUGCGGAGACACUAGGCAGCGAAUGCCGUGUCGACCACAAGGUUCACGUUCAGAGACGUAUCACGUCUGUCGGAGAACAAGCCUUUGCUCACGUCGCUAUCGCUGUCGCAGUCACCAUCACUUCACGGAUGGGCUUUGAGAGGAAGUGCGUCCACCGAGUGUCUAUAAAAUGGUUCUCUGCAAGACCGACUAUGGCCAAAUGAAAUAGUACUCGGUGAGAUAUGACUAAGGAUUUGAUACGGAACAGUUCUCCAUCGGAAGCCUAGCGGGGAGGGAUUCGGGUUGCACCAGCAGGCACAAGACCAGCCAUCGGAAACCUAGCAGCGGCGUCGAGGAAGCCUCGGCCUCGAGGCUCUUCCACGGCAAGCGCAAGCGCCACCGCGGCGGCCUCCGGCGGCGGCAGGGUGCACCGGUGCUCGGUGUGCCUGAAGACGUUUCCAUUGGGGCAAGCGCUGGGGGGCACAAGAGGUGCCACAACGACGGGAACGUCGGCAGCGGCACUACCCCGGCGGCGAUGACGUCGUCGGAGGGGGCGAGCUCAACUACCCCGGCGGCGAACAUCAUCUCAGAAUUUUCGGAGCCCAACUAACCUUCUUUUAUUGGCUUUGGAUAAAUCAGAUCAUAGAUCUCUCAUGUUUGAGGGAUAUAUAUCGAAUAUUUUGCUAACUUGAGCUAUCUCAUCAAAAUUAUUUUUGGUUUACUUUGACACGAGAAAGAUAUCUUACAUAUGCUUUCAAAUAUGUCAAAUGUAAGUUCUCAUCAUUAAUGAUAAAACACACAUCAAA